rnacentral:lncRNA from 1 species
GGCAAAGACCAGAGCCUCCUCUGAGCAUAAUGGCAGUAUGCCUAUGAAGGCCAAGAUUACAUCGCCCUGAACGUUGACCUGAAAACCUGGGCGGCGGCGGACAUGGAGGCGCUCAUCACCCCAUGCAAGUGGGAGCAGGCUGAAGAGGCAGAGCAUUACAAGGCCUACCUGGAGAGCACCUGCGUGGAGUGGCUCCAAAGAUAGCUGGAACGCGGGAAGGAAAUAUUGCUGCACA